rnacentral:rRNA from 1 species
GUCCCCUGCCCUUUGUACACACCGCCCGUCGCUACUACCGAUUGAAUGGCUCGGUGAGGCCUUCGGACUGGCCCAGGAGGGUUGGCAACGACCCCCCAGGGCCGGAAAGUUGGUCAAACCCGGUCAUUUAGAGGAAGUAAAAGUCGUAACAAGGUUUCCGUAGGUGAACCUGCGGAAGGAUCAUUACCGAGUGUAGGGUUCCUAGCGAGCCCAACCUCCCACCCGUGUUUACUGUCCUUAGUUGCUUCGGCGGGCCCGCCAUUCAUGGCCGCCGGGGGCUCUCAGCCCCGGGCCCGCGCCCGCGGAGACACCACGAACUCUGUCUGAUCUAGUGAAGUCUGAGUUGAUUGUAUCGCAAUCAGUUAAAACUUCAACAAUGGAUCUCUUGGUUCCGGCAUCGAUGAAGAACGCAGCGAAAUGCGAUAACUAGUGUGAAUUGCAGAAUUCCGUGAAUCAUCGAGUCUUUGAACGCACAUUGCGCCCCCUGGUAUUCCGGGGGGCAUGCCUGUCCGAGCGUCAUUGCUGCCCAUCAAGCACGGCUUGUGUGUUGGGUCGUCGUCCCCUCUCCGGGGGGGACGGCCCCAAAGGCAGCGGCGGCACCGCGUCCGAUCCUCGAGCGUAUGGGGCUUUGUCACCCGCUCUGUAGGCCCGGCCGGCGCUUGCCGAACGCAAAUCAAUCUUUUUCCAGGUUGACCUCGGAUCAGGUAGGGAAACCCGCUGAACUUAAGCAUAUCAAUAAGCGGAGGAAAAGAAACCAACCGGGAUUGCCUCAGUAACGGCGAGUGAAGCGGCAAGAGCUCAAAUUUGAAAGCUGGCUCCUUCGGGGUCCGCAUUGUAAUUUGCAGAGGAUGCUUUCGGGUGCGGCCCCUGUCUAAGUGCCCUGGAACGGGCCGUCAGAGAGGGUGAGAAUCCCGUUCUGGGAUGGGGUUGUCCGCGGCCCGUGUGAAGCUCCUUUCGACGAGUCGAGUUUGUUUU